GAUGAACGCUGGCGGCGUGCCUAAUACAUGCAAGUCGAGCGAACGGACGAGAAGCUUGCUUCUCUGAUGUUAGCGGCGGACGGGUGAGUAACACGUGGAUAACCUACCUAUAAGACUGGGAUAACUUCGGGAAACCGGAGCUAAUACCGGAUAAUAUUUUGAACCGCAUGGUUCAAAAGUGAAAGACGGUCUUGCUGUCACUUAUAGAUGGAUCCGCGCUGCAUUAGCUAGUUGGUAAGGUAACGGCUUACCAAGGCAACGAUGCAUAGCCGACCUGAGAGGGUGAUCGGCCACCCUGGAGCUGAGACACGGUCCAGACUCCUACGGGAGGCAGCAGUAGGGAAUCUUCCGCAAUGGGCGAAAGCCUGACGGAGCAACGCCGAGUGAGUGAUGAAGGUCUUCGGAUCGUAAAACUCUGUUAUUAGGGAAGAACAUAUGUGUAAGUAACUGUGCACAUCUUGACGGUACCUAAUCAGAAAGCCACGGCUAACUACGUG
rnacentral:rRNA from 1 species